rnacentral:lncRNA from 1 species
CAGGGCGAAGGCGCUGGCGCUGACCAGGAACCGGGGAGUGGAAGCGUCCAUGGACUGGCGUGACUCUCCAGAUGUAGUCUGAGUCUGGUCGUUGUGAUAGCUUCUAAGUCUCUUCUUUUGAGAUACAGCAAGCAGACCAGAUACAUGCACCCAGGACUCUAAUCUCAACCUCCUUAUCACCUUCAGCAUUUUCGAACCACAAUGGAAAUUUAGCCCUUCUGCCUGGGGCUGCU